rnacentral:rRNA from 1 species
UUCGCUUACGGGACGCAGCAGUGGGGGAUAUUGCACAAUGGGGGGAACCCUGAUGCAGCGACGCCGCGUGGGUGAAGAAGCGCCUCGGCGCGUAAAGCCCUAUCGGCAGGGAAGAAGAUGACGGUACCUGACCAAGAAGCCCCGGCUAACUACGUGCCAGCAGCCGCGGUAAUACGUAGGGGGCAAGCGUUAUCCGGAUUUACUGGGUGUAAAGGGGGCGCAGACGGCAAUGCAAGCCAGGAGUGAAAGCCCGGGGCCCAACCCCGGGACUGCUCUUGGAACUGCAUG